rnacentral:rRNA from 1 species
AACGAACGCUGGCGGCAGGCUUAACACAUGCAAGUCGAACGCGUGCAGCAAUGCACGAGUGGCGCACGGGUGAGUAACGCGUGGAUAUCUGCCUUUUGGUUCGGAAUAACCCCGGGAAACUGGGGCUAAUACCGGAUGGUUCCUACGGGAUAAAGAUUUAUCGCCAAAAGAUGAGUCCGCGCCCGAUUAGCUAGUUGGUGAGGUAAUGGCUCACCAAGGCGACGAUCGGUAGCUGGCCUGAGAGGACGAUCAGCCACACUGGGACUGAGACACGGCCCAGACUCCUACGGGAGGCAGCAGUGGGGAAUAUUGGACAAUGGGGGCAACCCUGAUCCAGCCAUGCCGCGUGAGUGAUGAAGGCCUUCGGGUUGUAAAGCUCUUUUGGCGGGGACGAUGAUGACGGUACCCGCAGAAUAAGCCCCGGCUAACUUCGUG